CGACUGAGGAGCAAGAAUCAAUCUUGGUUAGUAUAUCAAAAGAAUUUAAGGAUUUAAGGAAAAGGGUUCUAUGCUGUAUGCUUCUCUUCUAGAUGGAAAGGGGGGAUUGCAGAACCUCAUUGUGUUUAUAAAGGAAAAGGACCCGGAUAAGGUAUCUUUUGGUCUGUAUUCAUCUCUUGACACUGUUGCGGAACUGGAGUUGUUGCAGGUAACAUUAUUUCAUGUAAUAUUGUGAACACUAGAAAAUGUGGGUGAGAUGACAAAAGCAUCCUAUUAUAGUAACAUCUUAAACUUAUGGAUGUCUAAUAUGCGCACUUCAUGGUAUAGGCUCCAGGCUUGUCAUUUCUAUUGCCUGAGCAGUACUUGAAAUAUCCAAGGCUAAACAGGGAGGGGAACUGUUGAAUUCACCAUUGAGAGAGGUGACGGUUCCACAUUCUUUCUGACAGCUGGCGUGAACCAAAAAGCCUUGCUACAGUUCAGGUUUUUGGCAUCUAUUUCUAGGACGCAGGUGUGGUCCAACGAAGCAAUGAAAGUUUGAAUCCUGCUUUGCAGCCAAGUGCUUACCUUCGAAAUUGAGUUUAAGUUUAGAACCCGAUCAUGUCAAAUGCAUUACGAACAUCCUAAAGUAGAUUUGAGAACCUACCUUAAAACCUAAAAAAAUUACUUUCCUUCGCACCAAUCCACCAUUGGAU